UCUACAUAUGCUGAACUAAGACACCACCCCACAGUAUCUCCUAAAUUGUGACUGUUAAUGAAGAAGAGAGUGGGGGAAAGGAUCCGGAAGUCAGACCAGUACAUGAACCUAGAAGAGACGGAUGCAAGGAGACAGUAAAUUGGACCCCAGGCAGCAGCCAUCCAGAGAUUUACCUGAACCAGCUCUUUGAAGCAUCUCAGCAGUCCUAUGUAAGCUCUUACAAAGACCCUUAUCUUUAAACAUUGAAACAGACCUUCUCUGAGGCACGGUUCCAUUCAACAGCUCUUGCAGCCCCUCUGUGAAUCCUGGCAGAACAACAAAAUAGGAGUCUGG